UGGGGAAUUUUGGACAAUGGGCGAAAGCCUGAUCCAGCAAUGCCGCGUGUGUGAAGAAGGCCUUCGGGUUGUAAAGCACUUUUGUCCGGAAAGAAAUCCUUGGCUCUAAUACAGUCGGGGGAGUGACGGUACCGGAAGAAUAAGCACCGGCUAACUACGUGCCAGCAGCCGCGGUAAUACGUAGGGUGCAAGCGUUAAUCGGAAUUACUGGGCGUAAAGCGUGCGCAGGCGGUUUGCUAAGACCGAUGUGAAAUCCCCGGGCGUCAACCUAGGAACUGGCAUUGGUGACUGGGCAGGCUAGAGUAUGGCAGAGGGGGGUGAGAAUUCCACGUGUAGCAGUGAAAUGCGUAGAGAUGUGGAGGAAUACCGAUGGCGAAGGCAGCCCC
rnacentral:rRNA from 1 species